AAGUAGCUGCUGAACACAGGAGAAUCUGCCUUUUUCUUGAAUCGUGGUUUUUUUGUUUUUUUUUUUUUCAAGACGGAGUGUUGCUGUUGUCGCCCGGGCUGGAGUGCUGUGGUGCGAUCUUGGCUAAUUGCAACCUCCGCCUCCCAGAUUCAAGCGAUUGUCCUGCCUCAGCCUCCCGAGUAGCUGAGAUUACAGGCACGCACCACCGUGCCUGGCUAAUUUUUGUGUUUUUAGUAGAAACAGGAUUUCACCAUGUUGGCCAGGCUGGUCUCAAACUCCUGACCUUGUGAUCCACCUGCCUCGGCCUCCCAAAGUGCUGGGUUUACAGGCGUGAACCACUGCACCCGGCCUGAAUCAUGGUUUUUUGAAACCAUUGGCAUCUGAACCUGUAGCUCUCUCUGGUAGUGUUGUGUGGUUUUAAAUGUCAUGUGAGCUGAGUUACUGACCUCAACCUACUGCCAGAUGAAGGUGUGAUCCUGUGAUACCAAUCUUGAGGGUCCCUUCUAGUUUUAGCAGUCAGUGACUUCUCUUGUUUAUUUUUGUUUGAAAAAGUAAAAGGCUCUCUUUUUGGCUAUAGAGUUGCAUCUUGAAAUUUUUGACAAAUUACAUAGAGCUGAAGAAGGAUACAAGUUUUGAUAUCUUAAAAUCACAGGGUUGAAGCUUGAAAGGACAGUAUUGGCAUUGCAGCUAAGUGGGAGUGUGAGGAAGCGCCUUCUCUAGGGCAGGUAAUUGCAUCUGUUAAUGUGGUCCUUGGGCCCCUGAGUUGCUGCCUUCCAAUCAGAAUUCCCUUAGCAUUAGCCAGUGACGCCUGAAUUAAUCUCAGGUAGGACUUCUAACUUUUUUCCAAAAUUAUUUUUGUGCAGAGGUUUAUCUAGAUUUUUCUUCUAAAUGUCCUCCUCCCCACUUGUUUUAUUAUUACUGUUUUUUUCUCUCUUUAAUUUUUUUUUUUUUUUAAUAGAGACAUGGUCUCACUAUGUUGCCUGGGCUGAUCUCAGACUCCUGGGCUCAAGUGAUCCUCCUGCCUCAGCUUCCCAAAGUGCUGGGAUUAUAGGCGUGAGCCAUUGCGCCUGGCUCUGUUACUGUUUUUCUAACCUGAGUUACUUAGGAUCAUAUUUUCAUUCUUUUUUAAAAAGAUGGGAGUUUUCUGAACUUUUCCUUAACUAAAAAGUGGAAUGCAUCUUAAUAUUUUCCUUUUUUUACUUGUGUUUCUCCCCAGGGAGGGAAAAACAUAUUUAUUGUGACAGAAUUUAGCAUAUUUUAGGCCACAUUAAAAUACUGAUAAAUGUAUUAAUCAGUGAAAAUAGGUUAUAGUGAAAAAUAUAUACCAUUUGAUUAAUAAAAAUGUUAUUGGAAAAAUGCAAGAACUGCUGUAAGAAUUGCUAACAUUGUGUUGGAAAAUAAAUAUACUAAGCUAAGAAACAAUGGGAAACUGUCAUAUGUAGGGCCAACAGCCUUUUUUUUUUUAAACCCUUCCAAUUUAUUAAUAUCUAGUCUAAUAAACCCUGAUUUAUAGGACCUCUGCACCUUUUUUGACUUUUUAUUCAUCCAUUCUUAAUAUUCUACACUAUGACAAAAUCCUUAAAACUCCAUUAUUGAUGAAAUGGGAACAGACUUUUGUUUUUGUAUGUUGGUGUUCUCUGAGUGGUGAAGGCCCAGGGAGAAUGUUUUGUUUGGUGGUCACUUAGCAUUUGAAAACAUCCACUUCCUUGUGACUUAGCUGGGUAUCUUUUAACAUCUGGAAGCCACGUCCCUGAUUGAAAUCUCUGGAGACAACUUACCUUUCACCAACUUGUCUGCCAAAUUGCACCAUGGACCAAGAUUGCAGUGGCUGCAUCAAGUCUAGGCCUGCCCUGAAGUCUGGAUUUGUAAGUCCCCCAUUUCAAAUGGGGCAGAAGGCAGAGGAGCAGAGGAGCCACUGUGCCUUUCGCUGUCCUGGAGCCAGUUGGCCUUCUGGUUUUGGUGAACCCUGCUUUUAUAAGAGGACUCCCUGGCAUCUUCCAGUUUCCCGCUACUUGUUUUAUGUAUUAUUUUAUGUCUGUGUUUGUCCUGGAGUGCUGUAACUCCUUUCACUGUCUGCUGUAAGUUCAACUUCUUCAAUAAAAGAAAUGUUUCAAAUUGGA
rnacentral:lncRNA from 1 species